rnacentral:tRNA from 1 species
GCCUUCGUGGUGUAGUGGUCAGCACGCUCGAUGCGUAACUGAGAGGUCCGUGGUUCGAUUCCCGGUGAAGGCU